GCAGCAUUAGGGGGGUGCUUUAUACAUGCAAGUCGAGCGGACAGAAGGGAGCUUGCUCCCGGAUGUUAGCGGCGGACGGGUGAGUAACACGUGGGUAACCUGCCUGUAAGACUGGGAUAACUCCGGGAAACCGGAGCUAAUACCGGAUAGUUCCUUGAACCGCAUGGUUCAAGGAUGAAAGACGGUUUCGGCUGGCACUUACAGAUGGACCCGCGGCGCAUUAGCUAGUUGGUGGGGUAAUGGCUCACCAAGGCGACGAUGCGUAGCCGACCUGAGAGGGUGAUCGGCCACACUGGGACUGAGACACGGCCCAGACUCCUACGGGAGGCAGCAGUUUGGAAUCUUCCGCAAUGGACGAAAGUCUGACGGAGCAACGCCGCGUGAGUGAUGAAGGUUUUCGGAUCGUAAAGCUCUGUUGUUAGGGAAGAACAAGGGCGAGAGUAACUGCUCGCACCUUGACGGUACCUAACCAGAAAGCCACGGCUAACUACGUGCCAGCAGCCGCGGUAAUACGUAGGUGGCAAGCGUUGUCCGGAAUUAUUGGGCGUAAAGGGCUCGCAGGCGGUUUCUUAAGUCUGAUGUGAAAGCCCCCGGCUCAACCGGGGAGGGUCAUUGGAAACUGGGAAACUUGAGUGCAGAAGACCAGAGUGGAAUUCCACGUGUAGCGGUGAAAUGCGUAGAGAUGUGGGGGAACACCAGUGGCGAAGGCGACUCUCUGGUCUGUAACUGACGCUGAGGAGCGAAAGCGUGGGGAGCGAACAGGAUUAGAUACCCUGGUAGUCCACGUUGUAAACGAUGAGUGCUGAGUGUUAGGGGGUUUCCGCCCCUUAGUGCUGCAGC
rnacentral:rRNA from 1 species